rnacentral:rRNA from 1 species
UACGGAGGAUGCAAGCGUUAUCCGGAAUGAUUGGGCGUAAAGCGUCCGCAGGUGGCUAUGUAAGUCUGCUGUUAAAGAGUGAGGCUCAACCUCAUAAGAGCAGUGGAAACUACAUGGCUAGAGUGCGUUCGGGGCAGAGGGAAUUCCUGGUGUAGCGGUGAAAUGCGUAGAUAUCAGGAAGAACACCGGUGGCGAAAGCGCUCUGCUAGGCCGCAACUGACACUGAGGGACGAAAGCGUGGGUAGCAAACAGG